rnacentral:tRNA from 1 species
GAGAUAAGCUGGGAUAACGAGAACUGCUAAUUACUCGCCACCAUAGUUCGAUUCUAUGGUUAACUCG